GGCCCUAUGCAGACAAGGAUAUCUGAACAAACCAAAACAGCCUCAUACAUUUAUGACAGAUAUAUAACCAAUUAAAGGUUAGAAGUGACAUGAGGUUUUGGUUUGUUUUUUUCCUGUAUAAUUUCGGGUAGAGGUUUUUUUUUUUUUUUUUCCCUUGAGUUUGUGGAUAGAGCAUCACAACUUUACAAGAAGAAAGAGAGCAUCUUAUUUGAAUGUGAGACAAAAAUUAUGUGAAAUGAAACUGAUUUUGCUGUACAUCAGCGAACUAUUAGUUGAGUGUUGUAUUAAUUAGGACACUUGAUUACAAGUCACAAACAACAAAUUUGAACUAGCUGUAUCAAGUGUGGAAUUGAUUCUUAAAAGAUAAAUUUAUUCUAAGGAUUAAAAGGUUUCUUAAGGAAGGUAAGAAGAGAUUGCAGUUGUGUCCCAAGAAACUGCUGGGACAAUCAAAUGCUUUCGGGAUUCUCAGUCACAUCUCCUUCUCUCCUAUACCAUCUCUUUUAUUGUAGCCUGGCUUCCACUGUUCCUCAUAGGACAGAACAUGAUUGUGAGCAUUCCAUUGUUUUUACAUCCCAUAGUCAAAGCAUACAGAGAGCCUGAUUCAACUCUAAGUCACAAGCUUAAAUUCUUGAGAUAGGAGUUCCCAUCAUGGCUCAGCAGUUAACAAACCUGUCUAGUAUCCAUGAGGGCGCGAGUUCAAACCCUGGCCUCGCUUACUGGGUUAAGGAUCUGGUGUUGCCAUGAGCUGUGGUGUAGGUUGUCGACGUGGGUCAGAUCUGAUGUUGGUGUGGCUGUGGUGUAGGCUGGCAGCUGUAGCUCCGAUUCAACUCCUAGCCUGGGAACCUCCAUAUGCUGUGGGUGCAGCGCUAAAAAGACAAAAAGACAAUACAUACAUAAAUAAAUAAAUUCUUGAGAUAUCUUUCAAUAUAUAUACAGAAAUUCAUAAGUACAUGUAGACAUAAACAUAUGUCUAUGAAUUCAGUUUAUAUUUAAGACUUUCAGUGUAGGCUAUGCUAUAGCAUUGUAGAUGUUCUUAUCUGUUACUGGAAGGAAUAUGAUUUUAUACAAUGUUUUUGAGAAGUAAUUUGAAACUAUGUACCAGGAAUUAUAGAAAUGAUUAUUCACCUAGAUCCAAUGUGGUCUUGUUACCUUAGCAAAGCUCUAUGAUUGAAGUUUUGAUAUGUUUCUUUUGCAUUUUUCCUGAGUAUUGUAAGUGCAUUGAACAAAAAAUUGAAUAGGUUAAUGGCUCUUAGAGCUUUUAAUACCUUUUUUUCUCUAGUUUCUAAAAUUUGGAUAAUGAAUGUAAAUUUAGUUUAUAAAUAAUUGACCUUAGACAUCAGGAUCAAUAAUGCCUGUCCCUUCCACAAUCCUUUCUUGCCCCUACUUCUUUAUUCAAAUUUAUCUUAAAAUAGCAUAUUCUUAUUUUUUUUACUUUGACUCCUCAGUUAAGUUACUCAGACAAUGAAAACACUUUGUUCAGAUGACUUUACAUCUUUGAAAACAUUUUUUGAUCUUGAAAUUUUAUCUCCUAAUCUAUGAAUACUUGUCCAAAUUUAGUAUUUAACAUACACCUUUUCUCUUUUCAUAUUACUUUACCAGUCAAUACCAUUCUUCUUUUAGCCAUUAUUGUUUUUUUCUAUUGCUCUCUAAUGAGAGUUUGUCAUUUUCAGACAGCUUUGUACUGUGCUUUGAAAGUACUGGUUUCCAAGCUGUGAAUCCACUGUAUCUAUGCUGUGAAGAGUGAUUUGUUUCUUAUAUGUCAUGGUGCCUUUUUAUAUGCUGCGAGGAUGAUCAUUCAAAUGAUUCCCUUAUUUACAUGGGCUGCUUUAACUAAAGAAAAGUAUGCGUUAAGGAUAUGUAGAAAAUUAAGGCAUAAAUGUCUGAAACAGUCAGUUAACAGACAAAUCUUACUGAGUCUCAAUUAUCGUACUGCAUAUGUCAAUACUUAACAUCACAAGGUAUCACAAAAGAAGCUGUGCUCUUCUCAGGAAGGACUUUGCAAUGAAAUGGAUUGUAACAAAACUGUAUAUAUGCCUACUUAGGCAUAAGAAAUUAUUUUAAAAAACUGUCUAAACCUAAAUGACUGAAGAGUAAUAUCUAAGGAAAUACGGAGAAAGCCUACAAUUUCUUAGGCUAGUUAAGUGGAAUAGCUGAACUCUAUGUAACUAUGCUUUUCAACCCAGUAACUAUAUGCAGUUCCAUAAAAAAGAAUAUUAUAUUAGAGAAAAAGAACAGGACAUUACUUAAAUAAAAAAUGGAAAAAAAAAA
rnacentral:lncRNA from 1 species